rnacentral:rRNA from 1 species
CUUGCUAAGGCCGAUGGCGACCGGCGCACGGGUGAGUAACACGUAUCCAACCUGCCGUCUACUCUUGGACAGCCUUCUGAAAGGAAGAUUAAUACAAGAUGGCAUCAUGAGUUCACAUGUCCGCAUGAUUAAAGGUAUUUUCCGGUAGACGAUGGGGAUGCGUUCCAUUAGAUAGUAGGCGGGGUAACGGCCCACCAAGGCGACGAUCAGUAGCCGGUCUGAGAGGAUGAACGGCCACAUUGGGACUGAGACACGGCCCAAACUCC